rnacentral:rRNA from 1 species
CUCAAAGAAAUUGACGGGGGCCCGCACAAGCAGAGGAGCAUGUGGCUUAAUUCGAUGCAACGCGAAGAACCUUACCCGGGUUUGACAUAUAACUGCAACUCCAUGGAAACAUGGAUUCCUUCGAGGGUGUUAUACAGGUGCUGCAUGGCUGUCGUCAGUUCGUGCCGUGAGGUGUUUGGUUAAGUCCAGCAACGAACGCAACCCCUAUGUUUAGUUGCCAGCGGGUAAUGCCGGGAACUCUAGACAGACUGCCCGUUCACACGGGAGGAAGGUGGGGACGACGUCAAGUCAGUAUGGCCCUUACAUCCGGGGCUGCACACGUGCUACAAUGGCAGGUACAAUAGGAAGCAAUACCGCGAGGUGGAGCCAAUCCCCAAAACCUGCCCCAGUUCGGAUUGUGGUCUGCAACCCGACCACAUGAAGUUGGAUUUGCUAGUAACGGCGUAUCAGCUACGGCGCCGUGAAUACGUUCCCGGGCCUUGUACACACCGCCCGUCACAUCAUGAAAGCCGUCUGCACCCGAAUCCGGUGCACCAGCCAGCAAUGGA